rnacentral:pre_miRNA from 1 species
GUAGUACUCCCUCCGUUCCUAAAUAUUUGUCUUUCUAGAGAUUUCAACAAGUGACUACAUACAGAUGUAUAUAGACACAUUUUAGAGUGUAGAUUCAGUCAUUUUGCUCCGUAUGUAGUCACUUCUUGAAAUAUCUAGAAAGACAAAUAUUUAGGAAUGGAGGGAGUAUUAU